UACGUAGGUGGCGAGCGUUGUCCGGAUUUACUGGGCGUAAAGGGUGCGUAGGCGGUCGCGCAAGUCGGAUGUGAAAUCUCAGGGCUCAACCCUGAAACUGCAUUCGAUACUGCGUGGCUAGAGUGCUGGAGGGGAGACUGGAAUUUACGGUGUAGCAGUGAAAUGCGUAGAUAUCGUAAGGAAGACCAGUGGCGAAGGCGAGUCUCUGGACAGCAACUGACGCUGAGGCACGAAGGCCAGGGGAGCAAACGGG
rnacentral:rRNA from 1 species